rnacentral:misc_RNA from 1 species
AUAAAAUAGCUCUUCAGUGUAAAAUGGCUGAUCAACUUAUGGAUUGGCGAGGCGAACUCUUUCGGUCAAAAGUGGUGGCUCAAAUGUAAAUAUUUUUUUGUAUCGGUUAUAGGCCUACUUUGAACUGUUGACUGUUAUGAUAAAGGUAUUUAAUGUUAUCAGGCAGUUUGAUAUUUAGAGUGUUUAUGGUUCGUUAUGUCCGGUACAUAGAAAAUGAAAGUUAACAAUGAUUGAAGAUGUCAUAUAUUUUUUGUCUUACUACAUAUCAAAGUCUCUAGGUUCUGAAAGAUUUGAUUUUUAAAACUUGUCAAUAAAUUGAUGAGACAAAAAUAUUAAUUGUAUUCUGAUUGUAAAUAAAGUUUUUGGUGCUAUAACUGCAUUGGUGUCUGGUAACAACCACAGGUGCUUGUGUAGAACCGACUGCCUAUAACUAGAAUGCUUGUGGACAAGACCGUGCACUACCCCCUCCUUUUUUCUAGAAGAAAAAAAUUAUACAGAAAACAUGAUAAUUUUGAAUGAAUGAAUAAUUAAUGUGAAUAAAAAAUGCCACCCACUAUUUUAUGGUGAUGUUUCUGUUAUUUUCGAUUUAUGACAUAUUGAGACGGAGGUAAUAAUUAAGAGAUAAAGAAGAAAUUAAACCAUUAAAUAAAAAGAAAAGAUUGAGAUAAAAAGGUGGGGGUAGUUCAUGGUCUUUUCUACAAGCACCUGUGCACCUUUGGUCUAAACACUGUUCAAGUGAAGGCAUGGACAUGACUGUAAAUAAGUUCUACAAAAUACACUUGACAUAAAGAUAUACACUGUAUAAAAAGCAACUAUUAUAUAGCUAUUGCCUAAUCCUCUUACUGUGUCAGUUUUGUUAAAAUCAGACUUGUUUUUAAAUAAAUGCGAUUAUUACCUGUAUGCCAUAUUUGGCAUCCAUCAAAUUUAUGUACAAAUGUGAACAAUUUACAACCGUCAAGUUCAAAAAAGUGUCAAAUGCCCUUUUUUCUGUGGCCCAUUAAAAUACUGAUAUCUCUGGCAUAUGCUCCUCUAUGGUCAGUUUAAGUGGCAGUAAUUUUUAGAAGUUAAAUUCAAAGUCACACAGAAUACAAUAUUGUUGAAAAAGACCAUAACAAUAACAAAACCUUAGUUUUAGUUAUACCCUAUUUAUUUGGCUUUGAUAGCUACUUCGUCUUGUGGAAUUGAUGGAAUCUACCACCUUGGUACACAUUAUAUUAUUAUAUAGGGAUUCAGAAGUAGUAAUAUCAUCGAUUUGUUUAAUAGUGUUUGAUGCAACAUAUACUAUAUUUUUCAGUGAGGAAGCUGUGAGAUCAUCAGCUACUCAUAUCACGAAGUCCAGCUCAGAAAUGGAGAUGUAUAUGUUUCAAAAGGCCAAAACACCGGUAGGACUAUUAAACACCUUGUAGUAAGACUGGAUGAGGUAUAUUGUCUUGAUCCAUGUCAUGAAAUUGAAAGACAUCACAAGUCUCACUUUUCCACAAAUGGCAUAUAUUCCGUUUAUGAAAUAGAGAUUGAGAUCAAGAGUGAGGAUAUAUCAAUUAUUUUGGCCUUAGAGUCAAAUUAAUACGGUAUAUACAUGAGUAUAUUCAGACCAUCAGUAACUGCAGAUAUUUUUAUAGGACUUUUUAUCUGCCCAUUUCAAGAGAAUAUGGAGUGAUUUUCCGUUUUAUUGUGCAUUAUUUGAUUUAAAGGAAUGGCAACUAAAUUCUUGAGUAUUGACAACAACAUUAUAUUUGUGACAAAAAUUAUGCCACAAUGAAUAAAUGUCCUAACAACUUCCUGAUAUAAUUUUUUUGAUUUCUAAAAUAUACCCUUGCAUUUGUAUACUUUUAUAAAUCAGACUGAUAAUUGUAUAGUUCAUGGCUCGGCCAUUAAAAUAAUGUACUGGUAAUUGUCUGCAUCAUUCAAAAUUUUGAAAUUUUUGGUAGGAAACUAAAUUGUUUUUAAAGAUGGCCAAUGUACCAUGGAAUUUCUUUGAAAAUAAGAUGAUGAUGAAAUGGCUUAUACAAAUAAUCGAUUAUAAUUUUAGUGCGAUUUGAUCUUUAAUUUUGAUUUAUCAUUAUAUUAAAUCCAGCUCAUAGUAAGAUUUCAUAUAAACCUCUAUUGUUAUUGUAGAAAUGAGUUAGGUUCAUUAUCUUGAGAACACAUUGCUGUUUUAUAGUAUUUUUGUGGUCAAAACUUCAGUUGAUUACUGGAUAUAACUAUGUCAAAGAAAGACAGGAAAUUUGUACCUCUUACAUACAACAAGCACAUAUUUGUAACACUUUUUUAAUGCUAUAAUCUACUGUACAGAGUCCUCCAUUCCAAUUUUGUCUUUCUUUCAGGAGGAAUACCUGGCACUUGCAGCGAGAAUGAUUCUGCAUAUAAAAGAAAUGAGUAAGUGAUACAUCUAUUAAUUCCCAAAGUAAACAGAAAAAAUGAAUCUAAGCUAUGAUUAAUUGUUUAUUAGAUAAGUUCAGAUUAGAUAAGUUGACCCCUGAAAAAUGUGUAACACUACAC